rnacentral:lncRNA from 1 species
CUUGUAAUAUAGAAAAGUUUCUACCAUGUGACUUGGGAAGAUGACAGUUAAGCAGCCUCAAAUUUAAAUCUUCCCAUGUCUGUGACUCCAAAGAUAAAGAGAAAAUAUACGUUACCUGAACAACUUAACAGGCACGUGGAGGACUCUGAUUGGCCCAUGGUGGACCUUGUGCUCAGCUCUGUUGGUGAAUCACUGUUGCUGGAGAGCGGCUGGCUGGAGUUUUUAUCACCAAAACCAAACUGCUGGGAGCAUUCUGAUGCCUGGGACUGUUCCUGCCUCACCCUGCUGAUCUUAAAAAGACUAUGAUGGGACCUUAUCAGUGAUUCCGCUAAACUGGUCCAAAUCAUGAGUAUCACAUAUAUACUCCCCCGUUUCUCUUCUUCCUUCAACCUUCACUAUAACCCCACUUCCUUUCUCUGACAUGUCACUGUGGAGUUGGCAGGGGGAUUAAUUGGAAAGUUGACAAAUAUAAUACAAUAAAUAGGGAAUAUUCAAACUUUGAAACAAAUGACCUCUGCUGGCUGAGCAGUUUUUUAUUUAUACAAUGAUGAUGUUAAUACUUAUACAGAAUUUGUGAGCACUGAAAUGAAAUACUUAAAGCAUUUAAAAAUACUAUUGGGGCGCCUGGGUGGCUCAGUGGGUUAAGCCGCUGCUCUGGUCAUGAUCUCGGGGUCCUGGGAUCGAGUCCCGCAUCGGGCUCUAUGCUCAGCAGGGAGCCUGCUUCCCUCUCUCUCUCUCUCUGCCUGCCUCUCCGACUACUUGUGAUCUCUCUCUGUCAAAGAAAUAAAUAAAAUCUUUUAAAAAAAAAUACUAUUGAAGGGGCACCUGGGUGGCUUAGUCAUUAAGCAUCUGCUGCCUUCAGCUGAGGUCAUGAUCUGGGAGUCCUGGGAUCAAGAUCCCUCAUGGACUCCCUGCUCAGCAGGAAGCCUGCUUCUCCCUCUCCCUACUUGUGUUCCCUCUCUCAUUGUGUCUCUCUCUGUCAAAUCAUUCAAUCAAUCAAUCUUAAAAAAAUAAAAAUAAAUAAAAAUACCAUUGAAAAUUGUAAACUAGUACAUAUUCACUGUAGAAUUUGUUUAAUUACAAAAAAGUAGAAAAAAUAAAAUAAAAAUGAUGCAUUAUUCAAAUACCUAGAGAUGGC